rnacentral:rRNA from 1 species
UACGUAGGGUGCGAGCGUUAAUCGGAAUUACUGGGCGUAAAGGGCUCGUAGGCGGCCAACUAAGUCGGAUGUGAAAUCCCCAGGCUUAACCUGGGAACUGCAUCCGAUACUGGAUGGCUUGAAUCCGGGAGAGGGAUGCGGAAUUCCAGGUGUAGCGGUGAAAUGCGUAGAUAUCUGGAGGAACACCGGUGGCGAAGGCGGCAUCCUGGACCGGCAUUGACGCUGAGGAGCGAAAGCCAGGGGAGCAAACGGG